rnacentral:rRNA from 1 species
GAUGAACGCUAGCGGCAGGCUUAAUACAUGCAAGUCGUGGGACCGGCAAACGGGUGCGGAACACGUACGCAACCUUCCUUUAAGCGGGGAUAGCCCGGGAAACUUGGAUUAAUACCCCAUACUUAAAGAUGGGCGUGCGGCUGAUUAGGUAGUUGGCGGGGUAAUGGCCCACCAAGCCGACGAUCAGUAACUGAUGUGAGAGCACGACCAGUCACACGGGCACUGAGACACGGGCCCGACUCCUACGGGAGGCAGCAGUAAGGAAUAUUGGUCAAUGGACGCAAGUCUGAACCAGCCAUGCCGCGUGGAGGAUGAAGGCCUCUGGGUUGUAAACUUCUUUUAUUGGGGAAGCGGUACCCGAUGAAUAAGCACCGGCUAACUCCGUGCCAGCAGCCGCGGUAAUUC